rnacentral:rRNA from 1 species
UACGGGGGGGUAAGCGUUGUUCGGAAUUACUGGGCGUAAAGGGCUCGUAGGCUGCCAACUAAGUCAUACGUGAAAUCCCUCAGCUUAACUGGGGAACUGCGUGUGAUACUGGAUGGCUUGGAUUUGGGAGAGGGAUGCGGAAUUCCAGGUGUAGCGGUGAAAUGCGUAGAUAUCUGGAGGAACACCGGUGGCGAAGGCGGCAUCCUGGACCAAUAUUGACGCUGAGGAGCGAAAGCCAGGGGAGCAAACGGG